UACAGAGGGGGCAAGCGUUGUUCGGAAUUACUGGGCGUAAAGGGCGCGUAGGCGGCCCUCUAAGUCGAACGUGAAAUCCCUGGGCUCAACCCAGGAACUGCGUCCGAGACUGGGGGGCUAGAAUCCGGGAGAGGGAUGCGGAAUUCCAGGUGUAGCGGUGAAAUGCGUAGAUAUCAGGAGGAACACCAAUUGCGAAGGCAGCUCGCUGGGACGUGACUGACGCUGAGACGCGAAAGCGUGGGGAGCAAACAGG
rnacentral:rRNA from 1 species